rnacentral:rRNA from 1 species
GCGGCAGGCCUACACAUGCAAGUCGAGCGGUAACAGGAGAAAGCUUGCUUUCUUGCUGACGAGCGGCGGACGGGUGAGUAAUGUAUGGGGAUCUGCCCGAUAGAGGGGGAUAACUACUGGAAACGGUAGCUAAUACCGCAUGACGUCUACGGACCAAAGCAGGGGCUCUUCCGACCUUGCGCUUUCGGA